rnacentral:lncRNA from 10 species
CACUCCUGGUUUUGUUUUGUUUUUUGUUUUGUUUUACUUCAGAGACAGACAUUUUCACUGUAUACUUGUGACUUGCACCACAAUUCAAGUCUGAGAUUACCUAACUGAUGAUGUUUAUUAACACUUCAGUAGAAUUCUUCGCAGCAGUGAACAGUAGUGACAGGUCAUUAUGUUUUUCUUGCUGUUUUAAAUCUUCAUCUUACAAUGAGUUAUUUUGAAAUUCCAAAACAUUUCCCUGUAUUCCAGAAAUUGAAAAUGGUUGUUCACUAAAAAGCCUCUUCUUUUCCUGCUUAUAAAUUUGCCAAUUUUGCCAUUUUAAAUCACCUUUCUUACGUUUCUCUGAAUUGUAUAUUAUUUGUCAAUUUCACAGUUUCUAUAAUCUAUUGUUUGCUGAAUUGUUACAGUCUUUUGUUUUUAAUAGACUAGCACUAUUCCUAAUUAUUAAAUCUGAUUUACAAAGCA